rnacentral:piRNA from 1 species
UGUCAACAGGUUCAAGUUUGUGCCCGUGA